GACAUGUCCACUUAUGCCAAUGAAUGUACUC
rnacentral:piRNA from 1 species